rnacentral:rRNA from 1 species
AAUAGAUACCCGGGUAGUCCACGCCGUAAACGAUGGAUGCUAGCUGUUAGGAGUAUCGACCCUCCUAGUAGCGUAGCUAACGCGUUAAGCAUCCCGCCUGUGGAGUACGGUCGCAAGACUAAAACAUAAAGGAAUUGACGGGGACCCGGCACAAGCGGUGGAGCGUGUUGUUUAAUUCGAUGGUAAGCGAAGAACCUUACCCAGGCUUGACAUCCUGCUAAAGACCCCGAAAGGGGACUGUGCCUUCGGGCCGCAGUGACAGGUGAUGCAUGGCCGUCGUCAGCUCGUGUCGUGAGAUAUUUGGUUAAGUCCAUCAACGAGCGCAACCCUUAUAGUUAGUUGUAUUUCUCUAGCUAGACUGCCCUGGUAACAGGGAGGAAGGAGGGGAUGAUGUCAGGUCAGUAUUUCCCUUACGUCUGGGGCUACAAACACGCUACAAUGGCCGGUACAAAGGGCAGCCAAACCCGCGAGGGGGAGCAAAAUCCCAUCAAAAGCCGGUCGUCAGUUCGGAUAAGCAGGCUGAAACUCGCCUGCUUGAAGCUGGAAUCG